GCGGCCGUGGUCUAGCCUGGUCCAGGACGGGAGACAAACCUGCGCUCGACCUUCCCAAGCCAGGAGAGAGCUCUUAACCCGGGUCCGAAUCCCGGCGGCCGCA
rnacentral:tRNA from 1 species